ACCUCAUCUUCCACUUACUAGUUAUUGAAUUUUCUGGUUUUAUCACAAAUUUAUAGUGGCAAAUACUUUGUUUAAAAAAAUUGAGGUGUGCUCUUUGUGUUUCAAGCAUUAAGAGAGGUAGUGCGACACUAGUUGUAUUUUACUCUACAUGUUGAUAGAUGGUGGUGUACCAGCUCCAGAAGAAAAGAAAGAAAAUCUCUCACUCUCUCCCUCUCUGCCGAAACCAGCAACCAAAACAGAGCAUUCCUUCUCCAAGCUUGUUCUCGCUCCACAGGCCUUUGAAUCGACCCAGACCACGUUCCACAGCUUCGCCUCUUCCUUUCGCAGCUGCCGGUAACAGCCUUUCGCCGUCUCGUGGGCCGUACACGGCGGUGGAGCACGAGGCCGGUUUACCCCCGUUUUGAUUUCAAGCUUGAUAUCUCAAGUUACCAUUCACCACUCCUCACCAAACUCCAUCCACAAGCUCACCUCAACGUCCUGAAGCUCCCAGAAGUGGCCUUGCACGGCGGCGCUACUCGUGGUGGCGGCUGGAAGCCAGACCCGAUCAAAUCGAAAACCAAAGCUUCGAUCGACAUAUCUCGCGCUACAGGAUGUUGUUUUGAGUGUUUCUUGAACUGGUGAACUCAGAGUGAGGAUCUGAACAACUUUCCAGAAGGUAUCGAGGCCUGAAGUUGCAGUUUUUACGUCGAACUAGGAGCUCACCGGUUUCUGGGUUUUUUCCGGCCAACCCGACUGGUUUGAGGUGAUCGACAGUUUGAUUUGGUGGACGAUUCGUGAAAGUGUAUUUUGAGCUGUUAAGAAGACGCAGCGGGAAUUUAGAGCGGGAAAUCCUACAGGUCAGGAGAACCAGGACGGUGAUCGGGCUGCUUAGAGUAGUGUUAUGUGAAUUACAGCAUUAUAUUGUGAGGUUUGUUAUGCUCAUUUAGAGCUUUGCAAUUUUACUUUGUAAGAGUGAAUUGUAAUAAUUAACUCGAGGUUUUCGAGUUUUUGUGUUGAGUGGCGAGUGGUGUGUUUGUUUGUGAGAAAAAAAUUCAGAACGUUAUUUGUAUUAAUUGUUUAUUCAUGUUUCGGAUUUGAAUUGGUUAUUCAAAAUUCGGGGCGUGACAGUUUGGUAUCAGAGCGUAAGGUGCAUAUUUGGUGAUGUGUCAAUACUUUCCGAGUGAUGGCCCGUCUGCAGCGGAUCCCCAUCGUGUGCUCUUCGGUAUUGGCUAAGUCAUUGGGUAUGUGUGAGUGUUAGGAGUCGUUUAGGCCGCUAAGUAGUCUUAGGAACGUGAAUACUUUUCUUGUAGUAUCGACUUGGUUAAUAUGGACUAGUAUUGACUUAUACUAUGUUGAGUGUUAUACAUGUAUUAACCAAACAUACUAUGCUUCCUAGGUAAUGGAAAUUCCGAGGGGUGGGC